UACGUAGGGGGCAAGCGUUGUCCGGAUUUAUUGGGCGUAAAGAGCGUGUAGGCGGCCUGAAAGGUCAGCUGUGAAAUCCCGAGGCUCAACCUCGGAACUGCCUUCGAUACUGCGGGUCUCGAGUCCGGGAGAGGUGAGUGGAAUUCCUAGUGUAGAGGUGAAAUUCGUAGAUAUUAGGAAGAACACCAGUGGCGAAGGCGGCUCACUGGCCCGGUACUGACGCUGAGGCGGCGAAAAGCGUGGGGAGCAAACAGG
rnacentral:rRNA from 1 species